UUUCUCUAACAAUCCUUAUUCGCAUUAUUCUUCAGAAAUAUGAAAUAUGUGGAGCAUAAAAAAGAUAACAUUUCAUUAAGAUAAUCAAUUGUAAAUAAGGUGAAUAGUGAGAACAUUUACUCAAGAAUUAGUUUGGUUGAAGUAAGAGGCUUGCCUGGCGUUGAUGAAAUCCAUUAUGCUUGAUCCAUCACCGACCUUCACCACUCUUCCAUUUUCCAUAUAAAAAGCUCCAUCAGCAUACUCGAGUUCUUCCAAUCGAUGGGUCACCCAUAAAGCUGUAAUUUCAUCAGAUGCAACCAAGGAGUUCUUGACUGCUUUAAUCACCCCAAUCUGAUCAUUUUGGUCCAAGAAUGUUGUGAGCUCAUCCAACAAAAGCACCUUGCAUGCUUCAGCUAGAGCACCAGCAAUGGCAACCCUUUGUUUUUGACCACCACUCAGAGUUUGAACAGGCCUCUGAUGAGUGCAGAAGAAAGUAAUUACGCAAUACAUCUAAUUACAAUACGUUCAGAAAGCUAAACAAUGUACAAGCCUACUUGCAUGUAGGUAGACAUGCCCACAUCAUCCAGAGCUUUUGACACUCUUUGCCUAACUUCAUCCUCAGUCAGGAUGAACUUACCAAGGCCAAAUGCCACAUCAGCUUCUACUGUAGGCAUCACAACCUGAUGGUCCGGAUUUUGGAAAACAAAGCUUUUAGGCCUUUUCACAUACAACGUUCCACUGGUUGGCUGUAAAAGACCAGCCACAAUCUAUCUAAUUCACAACACAGAUUCUCAUCAUUACUUUACUCCAAAUGCACAAUUUAUAUCACUUAAAAUGUUAUCAUGAAUACUAAACCCAAAAUAAAAACAUUGGUUAUGUCAAAAGAGUUUCAAUUUUUCUCAAUCACUAACUCCAUGUGUCAAUGAAAAGCAGAACCAUAGUUAGUCUAAUUAACUCCCAUUGUCAAUUAUAAGUCAAUUGAUUAGCUAAUUGCUUAAGUAAACCUACCAUCAACUACACAGAAAUCAUUUAAUGUAUAACUCAGGAGUUUCAAACCAAAAGCUACAUAUAAAAAUGAAAUUUUUACUAGAACAACAAAGACAUAGGGAAAUUCUCAAAAGCUAAUAUAAUUUUAUUCCCCAAUAUAUGAUUUUUUUUUUUAAAUCUUAUUCCCCAAUGUAUAAUUUUUUUUAAAAUGAAAAGUGAUAUUUAACAUAAUUAUUUUCUAUUGACUGUCAAAUCAUUUUCUCUCUUUGAUGGAAGCCAGCUUUUUGUAUAAAUCAUUUGUUUAACCUAUUCUUAAAAAAUAAUAUUGUAAGUAGUAGUUACCAAAUCCUAAUUAUGUACAAAAUCAAUAGGUAAAACACCCCCCAUGACUUUCCAAAUUAAUAGAUGGUUA
rnacentral:misc_RNA from 1 species